rnacentral:snRNA from 1 species
AUACUUACCUGGACGGGGUCUAUGGUUGAUCAUGAAGGUCCAUGGCCUAAGGUAAUAACUUCCAUUGCACAUUGGAAGGGUAUUCCUUUAAGGUCUGUCAAUAAUGACAGAGCCUACGUCAUAAUUUGUGGUAGUGGGGCAUGCGUUCGCGCAGCUCCUUC